rnacentral:ncRNA from 1 species
ACCGCGAAAAACGGAACGACCUCCUGCUGGUGGUGGUGGUGGUGGUGAUUGCACCAAUAAAUGGCAAAAUCGCAAAUACAUGCAGACGGUAAGGAUUCUGGUAAUCCGUAUUGUCCGCUAAGUGUAUGAUUUUUAAUGUUUCGCUCCGGAGACUAGAUAGAACAAUUCCAAUAAGAAUGCCGAUGAUGCACAGAUCAGAAACUAGUCACUGCUGUACGGCCAAGGCGGAUGUACGGUACAGCAGGUGAAACGCCCAACAGCGAAAGUAUUUACCAAGAAUGUCUUCAUUAAUUAAGAACGAAAAUCACAGGUUCGAAGGCGAUUAGAUACCACCCUAGUUCUGACCGUAAACGAUGCCAUCUCGCGAUUCUGAGUCUUUCGGUUAUGGGGGAAGUAUGGUUUCAAAGCUGAAGCUUAAAGAAAUUGGGGCCCCACAAGGUUUGGAGCUUGAAAAACUCACCUGGUUCAAUC